GAAAGACUGUGGUUCUCGUGUUCCCAUUAAACCCCUUGAUCCUAAUUUGAUAAAUUUAGGGGGUCAGACGAAACUGGGUGAGCAGGCUCUUCAAUGAGUAGCCCGAAAGUUUACUGAGACUCCCACUUGAACCUCCGUGUUCAAGGGCAUUGGCUAAAACGGUCUCGCGGUUUUUCU
rnacentral:other from 1 species